GAACUCCACUGGACUGCGUUGCAAGCUCUGAGGCCAAAUAUUCAGUUUAGGUAAUUUUUAACUUCAGAACCACAGUUCCCAUUUUCUGUGAUUGCUUAUUCAGCGUUUUCUGUGGUAAAAUAUUCGUGAGACAGAAUUUAAUUCGAAUACUUUUAAGUGGGCAGUCCAUGGCAUUAAGCACACUCGCACACAACUCCUCUUUUCACCUCCAGAACUUUACCCUCUCCCAGCCCCUCCCAGCCCCGGCAGCCCCCUUCUCCCUGACUCUGUGGAUGGGAUUGUCUCAUGCUCUGUGUCUGCCAUCAGCUCCUAGGAUGAUCCCAGUGAGUGAGGACUUGAAACCCUCUCAGUGCUGAGCUCGGAGAUGAAGUCUAUGUGCUUGCAGCACGGCUGCUAGCUGACUCUCCCUCCCAGCACAGCUUCCGCGGCUGGCGCUCUCAUUGAGGCAAAGAGGUUUCACUGCAUCAGCUCACGGCUGAGUUUAGAGACUCGAAAGCCAUAGCAGGCAAGAUACGAAGGUUGGAAGAGCUGAGCCUGGGACUGAGCAAUGUAUGACAGGGAACCAUGGGAGAAAAAGCCUGUGUGCCAACACUCCUGGGAGAUCAGCUCUGUCCGGGUGGAAUUUGUGUAUGGAUUGCAGACCUGAUGGAAACCGGAAGGAUCCUGUCCCUUGCUGUUUCAUGGUUCCUGUGUCCUGAUGGCUCUGGGAGGAUCCCUCUUCAGCCUCAAGCCUGGAUCUUAUUCCUUUUCUGGCAUGGUGAUUCUGCUUUCUCCCCCUUCUGUGUUUCUUGACCAGGAAUUCUGAAAGUAUUGCCUCUUUCUUCCUGCCCAGACAUUGGCUGCUGGCAAAUUUAUUUACUGGUCAAAGCCAACUGGAGAUUGGGACCAUCAGCAUCUUACAUGUACAUAUGCAAAUUCCUGUGCAAUUUUGGAAACCCAAUUAGUACAAUAUAAGCAAUAAACCAAUUCCACAAUAGUGUGUGUGUAUGUACAUGUAUAUCUGUUUAGUUUUUUUCCUUCCCCCCUGGAACUAUGAAAAAGUAACUCUGAUUUUGAAAUUAUAAUAUCAGUAGAGAAGGGCUAUGUAGGUCAACAUUCUGUUAUAGAAGCACGUCUCCUCUGUUGAAAGUACAGCCAUAAGUGAAUUGUUUGCAUGAAGUUGCAGCCAACUUAGAAUUUCAAAUUCUCUGUAUGUAAUAUACUUAAGAGGCCAAACAUUUGAAGAUAUGACUUGUAGAACAAUUGCCCUUUUUCCUGUGUGUGUAAUGUACCCUAGUAUUUAGACUAAGCUGGCCUCAGAUUCAUAGAGCUCUGCCAGUCUCUGCCUCAAGAGUGCUGGAAUUUAAGGUGUGUACCUCCAUGCCAAACCAGUAUACAACCGUAUAUAUUGAAACAUUUAAAAUAAAAAGCAGUGAUAACAAAAUUACAUAAAAUGUUCCUGAUCUAUCUGCUUCUGACCAUUUUCUCUUGCUAUCUGCUUAUCACUGCUGAUAGCCAUGUCUGCUGUGUUAGAUGAGUUUCAGAUCUUUGGAUGAGUCUUUAAUUCCAUCUCACACUUAAUGCAAUCAACUGUCCCUACCAGUCUUACUUCUCUUCCAACUAAUUCAAUUCUUCCAUGACAAGGAUUUGAUCUCUGGUUUCUAGGACCUGCUUUUCCUGUUGACGCCCAAAGUUUACAAUAGAGUGUACUUUGGGUUUUUCUCUAGCCUUGUCAGCUCUUUUAGUCAGCAGUCUGAUUUAAUGCCUAUAUACUUUGUUCUUUCUCGUGACAGGAGGAUUGGGAAGCAUGGCAAAUCACUGUGUGAAUCACACUCAGAGUUAUGGGGAACUGUGUGGGAGGCAGGCUGGUUGGGCCUUUGACUCUAAUGUGCUUGACAGCAUGGCAAAGAAGUUUGUGAUAAAAAGUUAGGAUUGUAGAUUUACACAUCCCUGAGGACUCUAAAAGUCUGAAAUAGAAUUUAAGUUUCAAAGCCAGUGCAAAUAGAUGACCUUAGGUGGAUUCCUGCCCACAUAUUGUCAGGAGGUAGAGGCAUUUGGGUCUAUUCUGUGCUGUUUUUGAGCAGGUAAAAUGAUUAUAUAACUAGGCUAUUGUCUCAUGAUCAGUCUCUUCUCUUACCUAUUUAGAAACGGUAAAGGCUCAGGAUAAAUUUUGGUUGAGUGCUUCCCUAAAUCAUGUUUCCCUACCAAAACCCCCAAUUGGAAACAUACAAUUUAAUAUGGCCUUCAAAAGAAUGACAGAGACCAGCUGACUUGAAUAUUCCCCAAAGGCCACACCUUGCUGACUCGGUCUCCAACCUGUGGCACUCUUGGACAUUUAAGUGGAAGGGCCUGGUGGGAGAAAGUUGGGUUCUUGGAGGUGAGAUGUUGGGGUACAGUCUCUUUGCUUUUACUUCUUGGCUGCUGUCAGAUGACAAGCUCCCUCUAUGAUGUCCAGAACAACAGAGCCAAGUGCUAUGGACCACAGUCUCUGAACCAUGAAACAAAAUAAGCCUUUUCCUUUUAUCCAUUGAUUAUUGAAGGUAUUUUGUUACAGUCGAGGAAAGCUAAUUCAUUGAGCAUUGUCUAAGGGACAUCAGUGAUGUCAGAAAAAGGCACAUCACAAAGUGGCCUAGAAGAUCCUCAAGAUUCUUGAUAUCCUAAGUGGGGGCCACAUCACUGUUCUUCAAGUUUUCCCAGGCUUGUCUGAUCCAAGCAUCAUCUGUUGGGUGUUGUUAAAAGAGAGUCUCUGGCUGCUUUGAGGCUGAGAUCAAGAACCCAUGGGGAGUGAGUGGCAGUGGUGCCAACCAGAACCUGUAACUCUGCAUGUCUUUUGAACAUGUCACUUUGGGAACACUGGAAUCCCUUUUGUAAACCACUGAAGAAGAUAGCUGCUUGACAGAGUCAGGGCCAAGUCUUUUCAAGAGCUUUCAUUACAGGUUCACAUUUGUUGGUCAAGGGUGUAAUUAUUAUUUGGACAUUUUCCUCUAGUGCCAUAUAGUUUAGUGACAGACAAAAGAGUUGGCAGCAAAGGAGAAAAAUCACCUUUGUACUAGUUGGGAAACCAGAAUAAAGUCCAAAGUGUUACUCAACAGAUAUGUAUCCGUGCAUGCGUGCAUGUGUGCAUGCACGUGUCUUUGUGUCUGUAUGUGUGUGUAUGUAUGUCUUUGUGUCUGGCUGCGCACGCAUGUGUGUGUGUGUGUGUGUACACAUAUAUAUAUGUAAGCAUUGUUCUAAGUUUCUUGACUCUGACAAUGUUUUUUACACACCAGUGUUCUCAUGUGUAAAUUGAGAUAAUAAGGCUAAAGCCUUAUUUCCUAUUCCUAUUCCUAGGAGGACUAACAGAACACAGAUUGUGGGAUUCCUAGGAGGACUAACAGAACACAGAUUGUGGGAUUCCUAGGAGGACUAACAGAACACAGAUCAUGGGAUUCCUGGGAGGACUAACAGAACACAGAUAGUCAAAUCCCUUAGGCAGUGGCUUUCAUGGCACACAAUUCUAAUGGGGCAGCAGCUUAUUGUUGUGAGUAAAUAGGCCAGGGUUCCAAUCUUUAUGAUUAAGUAGAAUGUUAAUGACUUAGCAUGGAAGGACUGGAGAGAUGGCUCAGUGGUUUAGAGCUAUGGCUGCUCUUCCAAAGGUCCUGAGUUCAAUUCCCAGCAACCACAUGGUGACCCACAAGUUUCUGUAAUGGGUUCUGAUGUCCUCUUCUGGUGUGUCUGAAGACAACUACAGUAUACUCAUAUAAAUAAAAUAAAUCUUAAAAAAAGUUAACGUGGAUUUUUUUUUUAUCGGUUUAUGAAAGUUACGAACUCAGACACAUCACUUCUUAUGCAGUCACCAUGAAGUUCCACUCAGUGGCAUGUUUAUGGAAUGUCUAAAAUUGUUUUAUUAUUUCAUAACUCAGUGUUACAAACUGGCAGUCUGCAGAUGCUUUGCUUGGCCUGUAUAUUUUAAAGGACAGUUUGUUUCUAUACUUACUUAUCUAGAUAUCUCACACACAGAAAUAGAUUUCUAUGUUUUAAAGAUGCUUUUUUAUAUUUUAUUAUUAUUUUUAUUUUAUGAGCAUGGGUAUAUCUGUGUGCCAUGAGUGAGCAGUUCCCAUGGAGGCCAAAAGAGGGCAUCAGAUCCUUUGAAACUGGAGUUACAGACUAUUGUGAGCUACCACAUGGGUGCUGGGAAUCAAACCUGUGUCCUCUGCAAGAGCAGCCAGUGCUCUUCACUGCUGAGCUGUGUCUCCAUCCUGAUUUCUAGGUUUUGCAGAAAAGUACUUUGAAAUGCACCCCUAGUCUCCUAUGGAUGAGGCUUUCUGCAGUUGAAAAGGGGCUGGCUUUCUGAAUGGGCAAUGUAUGCUACAGGUUUCUGCCUCUUGUUAAUAGUUGAUAUGGUUUGCCUGGCCCUACAGGCACCCGAGUGUCACCCUGAUGUCCAAGAUAAUGACUUCUUUUCUCAUACAUCCUAAUGGGUGACAGCUCUCAGCCCAGUUUGUAGCAGAUGGAUGGAUGGAUGGAUGGAUGGAUGGAUGGAUGGAUGGAUGGAUGGAGAAAGCAACCACUUCAUUGUCUUUCAUAUCAACAGACUCUUCUUAGCCAGUCAGGUCAGCAGAGCCCCUAGAUCUUCUCAGCCUUCCUAACGCUGUGACUCUCUAACAACAGCUCCUCAUGUUGUGCCCACCCUAACCAUAAAGUUAUUUUGUGGCUACAUCAUAACUAUAAUUUUGCUACAGCUAUGAAUCGUACUGUAAACAUCUGCUAUGAAGGAUAUCUGGCCCACAGCUGAGAACUGCCGCCCUAGAUGGAUAUCAAUCUGUAGGGCCACCUUCCAUGACUUUCCAGCAGGUGGGAUUUAGACUCAAGUUCAGUUCAACCUCCACCAGCGGAUUCUAUUUCUAUUUUCUAGCCUAUUUGUUUUAUCUCCAGCAUAGCUGAGCUGCACCCCACACAGUGUUUUAUCCCUGACGUAUCCAAAGCUCAGGGGCAGCCUCCGCUCUGCAAACCCUAUCAUCCUGCCGUGUGCUACCCUGAGGGCAUCUUCUCUGGUUUUUGUUUUUUCCUAGAUGUGACCCCUGAUAAUUUGGCACACUUCUAGUCCAUGCCUUAUAAAUAGGAAAUGAAGUGCAUCCCAGUGCGUUGGACUGUGGUUAGAUAAUUAGAUACUCCCAUUCUGCCACUGGAUGUGAGAACCCUGCUCACUACACCUCAGCAUCUAGGGCAGAAACGAGGUCAUUGUCAUCAAAAUAUAACCAAAACUAAGGGUACAGUCUAUUAUAUGGGAUGCUCAAAGUAUUUGUCAUUAGGAAUCCAUUUUCCAACUAAGAAGCAGAUGAUUGAUAACCAACUUUAGGGGCUGGAGAGAUGGCUCAGUGAUUAAGGGUGCUUUCUGAUCUUGCAAAAAAAAAAAGUGGCCUUUGGUUUUUAAUACCCACACUGGGUGGUUUAUACCUGCUUAUAACUCCAGCUCCAAGGGAUCUGCAACUCUGGCCUCUCAGGGCACCUGCACACAGGUAAUGAACUUAAAGAGUCAACUUUAAGAUCAGAGAAUUGGAUCACUAGACGAAGGCACUUGCCAUCAAGCAUGAAAAGCCAGGUUCUGUGCAAUCCCCAGGACCCAUACGGUAGAAGGCACGACUGCCUCUCACAACUCACUCAUGGACCUCCAAACUACUGUGGCACACGUAUGCACACAACAACAACAUACAAAUAAAUACAUAUAGUUAAAAAAAGAAGCUGUUUGUAGUCCUCUAAUGCUGCACCGUGAAACGUAUUUUUCCUUGCUGCUGUGGUUUCCUUUGAGGCUCCUAUAAAAGCUUAAUGGAACGUUAACUUCCGCUGUGCUCUUUACUUGAUGUCUCAGAGUCUUAGUUACCUGAAGUACUUCAGUUCAUCUUCUUGCCACUCAAGCUCUGCAUAGCUCCUGGCACACCAAGCAUGCCCAAUGCCUGACAGCGCAUGGUUCUUAUUCCUAUGUAGAGAGCAACCUACAAGUUGGAACCAAGUUUGGGCUUGCUCUAUUUUCCCAAAGUAUUUCUUAAGAAAGGGCAGGUCAGAGACUGUGGUUUGUCUACCCCGUGCUAAACAAAUGUAUUUUUCUUCUGUAUAAAAAGUAGUUAUUUUAAAAAUCAGUGGUUUAGCCAUUCAAAGAAGUACACUUUUAUGAUUUUUAUAACCAACAAGGUAAAAAUUAUUGAAAAUCCUGGUAAUGUAUGGUAAAACCAUCAGACAUAUAUGUGGAUUAAUUAACAAUUAUGAAGAGAAAAACCAAGUUGUACAUCUGGUGGAGGUCACUUUAUGCAAACUGGCUAGGCAUGGUGGCACAUGUUUAUUUCCAGUACUCAGGAGGCAGAGGCAGGCUCCACAGAGGGAGUUCCAGGCCCUCGAGGGCUAUAUGGUGAGAGCUUGACUCAAACUAUAACAACAACAACAACAACAACAACAAAAAUUGUCAUCAUCAACAAGAAACAAGGCAACUCUUAGGAUGUGAUGCAGUAAGGACAGGACACUAGCUAUGCAGUGUUCUUGCAGAAAAAGAAAAUCCUCAUCUGACUCUACCGAGGAAACAGUUAGGUAGAUCCAAGCCUUUACACUGUGUUACCAAAGAAGUGAGCUAGACACAGUCAGCUAUAGGAUGGAACACAGGGCCCCCAAUGGAGGAGCUAGAGAAAGCACCCAAGGAGCUAAAGGGAUCUGCAACCCUAUAGGUGGAACAACAUUAUGAACUAACCAGUACCCCCGGAGCUCGUGUCUCUAGCUGCAUAUGUAGCAGAAGAUGGCCUAGUCGGCCAUCAUUGGGAAGAGAGGCCCCUUGGUCUUGCAAACUUUAUAUGCCCCAGUACAGGGAAACACCAAGGCCAAGAAGUGGGAGUGGGUGGGUAGGGGAGCAGGGCGGGGGGAGGGUAUAGGGAACUUUCGGAAUAGUAUUUGAAAUGUAAAUAAAGAAAAUAUCUAAUAAAAAAUAAAAAUAAGUUAAAAAAAGUGAGCUAGACCCUUUAGAUGGGCCCUCCUCUUAAAAACUUCUCAGAAGGAGUCUAAAGAGACACUAUUGAUAACUGUCACAUGCAAUCCUUGAUCAAAUCCUCAAGGAGGACAAACCACAGCUGUCCAGGUUGCUAUAAGCUCAGGCGGUCAGAUUUGCAUGUGAACUAUAUAUUAGAGAGUGAGAAGGGAGUGAGACUUUGAGGCUGUGGCCUGCUAACCCACUGCUUCUGAAGUGUAGAGGGUCUGGAGAUCUUACUAGAACUAAGAGCAUCAUGAAUACAAAGGGAAUUGGUUCCACUGAGCUCAAUCUCCUGAGCUUGGAGUCACAUAAACUGUCUUUAAAAACUUAGAAAUGACCAUGAAAUCACAGUCAGGGCACACAGUUCUGUGAGGUACAAGUACUGUGGGGGAGGCAAUUCUAACUGCAGACGAUGCUGAGUGAAUAUCAAGUAUUGUGUCCAUGUGUAUGCAGGUGCAUGUGCGCCUUGUGUGAAGGCAGAGUACCUUUUUGUUUACAGGUUUCUCCAUAGUCUGGAACUUUGCUGAGUUGACUUGGCCAGCUGGCCAGCAAGCUCUAGGGAUCUGCCUGCCUUACCUCUCCAGCCUUGCCUCCCCAGCACUGGAAUUAUAAGUGUGUGCUAUCUGUCACUGAGCCCGACCUUUUGCACGGGGUCUGGGGCUCAAACUCACAUCCUCACAUCUGCAAGGCACACUUUACUGACUGAGCCAUCUCCCCAGCACUAACUGGAAACUCGAUUGUCACCAAUAGAAUUCCAGAGCAGGGCCUCUGUUUUACUGGUUUGGAGCUGUCUUGUCUAAUGAAAAUAGAUUGCUAGUAAGAACCAGGGUAAAUUUUCAUCCUUGCAGUAGUACAGGGAUGCCAGAGCAGCUGGCAGGGCAGCCCUGGCUGUCUGCGUCGGAUCCUGUGGUUUAUUAUCUCAUCUGAGGGGACAUUAGGGAAGAGUGUGGCAGCCUUGUUGGCAAUCACUAAAGAAAUUCAACGUGCGGGCUGCCUCUGUGUUUCCGAGAGGGGCAGCAGACAUUAACAGCUUACUUCUAGUCCCAGUAGCCAUGAUAUUUUCAUUACUGCUGUCCUCAGGCACAGACUUUUUAAUUUAAAACAGGAAGGUAAGUUCAGGAUGGAAAUAGCCCAUCACCAGAGGAGCAUCGCCGCACCAAAAUCACAUUAUAGCUCACCUGCCAAUCUUAGCAGCAUGCCAGGUGCUUUGGGGUGUCUGGAAGGAGGAUGUAAGAAAGGAAGGUAGCAGAAAGGCAAACUGGAA